GUAAUAAUUCUUAAAAGAACUACUUAAAACCAGAACACUAAACCAACAAUUCUAAAAGAGCUGUUUUUAAAGCUAAAAGACACUAUGCAUUUCGGCAGACUACUCAAUCAGAUGUCAACGUCUGCUAUAAGAGAACUUCGAAAUCAUGCGACAUUUGUAACGUUAGGAAAAAAAUGACGUCAUCUCUAAAUUGAGAGAUGACGCUUAAAACAGAGAUAAAUUAAACACGUCACCCUUUUGUCGGUAGAGGACGGGAUUAGUCACCUCAAUACAAUAAUCACAAGAUCAAUAACCGUUAUACAGAUAAAGUACACCAAACAUCAUUCAGACGUUGCAACAUUGUCAAGUUGAUCAGACGACAAAAAAUCGGCGACAAGUUGAAGGUCCUGGUAACUAACGAACGUAGGACGAUAUCAAAACCUCAAAGGCACUCACCGAUUGCUUCAACUUGCUUCUGUAAAGUUUUGUUGCUAAGAAAAUACGAGUCCUUACAGCUUCGCAAUUGAAUGUUUAAAAUCUCUGAAUUCGUUGCGAGGAUUUUCGACUGCUCUUCCUUGAAAAAAAAAAUUCGUUGACAGUUAGGGUUUUAAAAUCUGCUUCGAAGCAC